rnacentral:rRNA from 1 species
AGAGUUUGAUCCUGGCUCAGGAUGAACGCUGGCGGCGUGCCUAAUACAUGCAAGUCGAGCGAACGGACGAGAAGCUUGCUUCUCUGAUGUUAGCGGCGGACGGGUGAGUAACACGUGGAUAACCUACCUAUAAGACUGGGAUAACUUCGGGAAACCGGAGCUAAUACCGGAUAAUAUUUUGAACCGCAUGGUUCAAAAGUGAAAGACGGUCUUGCUGUCACUUAUAGAUGGAUCCGCGCUGCAUUAGCUAGUUGGUAAGGUAACGGCUUACCAAGGCAACGAUGCAUAGCCGACCUGAGAGGGUGAUCGGCCACACUGGAACUGAGAC